rnacentral:rRNA from 1 species
GACGAACGCUGGCGGCGUGCUUAACACAUGCCAGUCGAACGAAGUGGCGAACGGGUGAGUAACGCGUAAUCAACCUGCCCUUCAGAGGGGGACAACAGUUGGAAACGACUGCUAAUACCGCAUACUGAAGGAGGGGAAUGCGUUUGAUGAGCUAGUGGGAGGGGUAACGGCCCACCAAGGCGAUGAUCAGUAGCCGGUCUGGGAGGAUGAACGGCCACCCUGGAACUGAGCCACGGUCCAGACUCCUACGGGAGGCAGCAGUAGGGAAUCUUCCGCAAUGGGCGAAAGCCUGACAGAGCAACGCCGCGUGAGUGAUGAAGGUCUUCGGAUCGUAAAACUCUGUUAUUAGGGAAGCGGUACCUAAUCAGAAAGCCACGGCUAACUACGUGCCAGCCGCCGCGGUAAUUC